rnacentral:ncRNA from 1 species
ACCAAACAAAACUAAGGAAGCUUUUUGGCUUUGGGCCUUUCCUACGGUUAGGUGGAAGGCGAAGACCAGAGGGGCCGAGCCAUUAGUGAGAUACCACUCUAAAAGGGCUAGAAGGAACAGUUUCUAUGGGGCGUAGGCCAACAGAGGGGUGCAAAGGUUUCCUCAGGCCAGAUGAAAAUUGGCCCUCGAGUACAAAGGCAGAAGGGAUCUCGACUGCAAGACACACCCAUCGAGCAGGGACAAAAGUCACCCUCAGUGAUCCAACGAUGCCGAGUGAAAGGGUUGUCGCUCAACGAAUAAAAGUUAUUCUGGGAUUACAAGCUAAUCUUCCCUAAAAUCUCAUAUCGGCGGGAAAGUUUGGCACCUGGAUGUCGAUUUUUCGCCACCUGGGUUGUUGUAUGUUUCAAGGACUGGGUUGUUCGCCCAUUAAAGCGGUACAUAAGCUUGAUUUAAAACAUCGUCAAACAGUUCGACACUUAGU